rnacentral:rRNA from 1 species
GACGAACGCUGGCGGCGUGCUUAACACAUGCAAGUCGAGCAGAAAGGCCCCUUCGGGGGUACUCGAGCGGCGAACGGGUGAGUAACACGUGGGUAAUCAACCCCUGACAUCGGGAUACCCCGGGGAAACCCGGAUCAAUACCGGAUAAGGUGCGGAGGCGCAGGCCGUCGUACCAAAGGUAGCUUCGGCUUCCGGUCAGGGACGAGCCCGCGGCCCAUUAGCUUGUUGGUGGGGUAACGGCCCACCAAGGCGACGAUGGGUAGCUGGUCUGAGAGGACGAUCAGCCACACUGUGACUGAGACACGGCCCAGACUCCUACGGGAGGCAGCAGUGGGGAAUAUUGGACAAUGGGCGCAAGCCUGAUCCAGCCAUGCCGCGUGAGUGAUGAAGGCCUUAGGGUUGUAAAGCUCUUUCGCCAGGGACGAAGCGCAAGUGACGGUACCUGGAGAAGAAGCACCGGCCAACUACGUGCCAGCAGCCGCCGUAA